AUUGAACGCUGGCGGCAUGCCUUACACAUGCAAGUCGAACGGCAGCGCGGGGCAACCUGGCGGCGAGUGGCGAACGGGUGAGUAAUAUAUCGGAACAUACCCUAGAGUGGGGGAUAACGUAGCGAAAGUUACGCUAAUACCGCAUACGCACUAAGGUGGAAAGUGGGGGAUUCGCAAGAACCUCAUGCUCAUGGAGUGGCCGAUAUCUGAUUAGCUAGUUGGUGAGGUAAAGGCUCACCAAGGCAACGAUCAGUAGCUGGUUUGAGAGAACGACCAGCCACACUGGAACUGAGACACGGUCCAGACUCCUACGGAGGCAGCAGUGGGAAUUUUGGACAAUGGGGGCGAACCCUGAUCCAGCAAUGCCGCGUGAGUGAAGAAAGGCCUCGGUUGUAAGUA
rnacentral:rRNA from 1 species